UUAUUUGAAAUAGGAUACAACCUCCACCACUGGGUAAAGGGGGAAAUAAUAAAAACAAAGUGGGCCCAAAAGCAGCCACCUAUAAAAAAGCGUCAAAGCUUGACUUUUACAACCCCUAAUUACUAAAACAUCCACUAACCCAUCACUUCUACUGAACCAUUUUAUAUUAUUAUAAAAACGAUUAUGCUAGAACUAGUAACAAGAACUUGCCAUUCUCCACAAUGCAAAUAUAAACCAAAACGGACUCCCCAUUGGUGAUCAACGUAAAUGCAAAACCAUAACAACACACAAACCAGAAAACCUUAUGGCCCCUGACACGUUACCCUAACACUAGAGCAUUACAGGAAAGAUUAAAAGAAAGAGAAGGAACUCGGCAAAUUUUAGCCCCGCCUGUUUACCAAAAACAUCGCCUCCUGCUUAAAUAUAGGAGGUCCAGCCUGCCCAGUGAUAACAUUCAACGGCCGCGGUAUUCUGACCGUGCGAAGGUAGCAUAAUCACUUGUUCUUUAAAUAGGGACUUGUAUCAACGGCAUCACGAGGGCUAUACUGUCUCCCCUCUCCAAUCAGUGAAACUGAUCCCCCCGUGAAGAAGCGGGGAUCUAAUU
rnacentral:rRNA from 1 species